rnacentral:rRNA from 1 species
UACGUAGGGUGCGAGCGUUGCCCGGAUUUAUUGGGCGUAAAGGGCGCGUAGGUGGCCCCUCAAGCGUGCGGUGAAAGUCAGGGGCUCAACCCCUGAUCGGCCGUGCGAACUGGGGAGCUUGAGCACUGUAGAGGCAGGCGGAAUUCCGGGUGUAGCGGUGGAAUGCGUAGAGAUCCGGAAGAACACCGGUGGCGAAGGCGGCCUGCUGGGCAGUUUUGCUGACACUGAGACGCGACAGCGUGGGGAGCAAACAGG